CCGAGUUUUCUACAACUCCCAACCCUUGCGAACCGUACCCCAGUCUGUUCUCGUUGCUUCCGGCGGGCGGGCGAGGGAGAGGCGAGGCCCCGCGCCUCCCCCCUCCCUUGCCCCCCGCCGGGGGCGGCGGGCCCUCUGAACCUUUUUUUUACCAAACAACUAGACCUUCUGAGCAAAAACAAACAAAUACAUUA
rnacentral:misc_RNA from 1 species